CCUCGGCGCCGCCUGGCCGCCAUCCCUGCUGCUGCUGCUGCUGCUGCUGCUGCUGAGCCUAGGGAACGGAGGGGCAUCAUGGCCACACACACAGACACACACACACACAGGGCAUGGGCACAAAAAGGUCCCCCCCUACAUACACACACACACACACACACACACACACACACACACACGGUGAGAGGGGGAUAUGCACUAAAAGAUCUCUCUCUCUCUCCACACACACACAGGCAUACAGUAUACACAAAAGGUAUCCCCUGCACACACAGACACACAAGCAUGAGGGCUCUUAUACACACACAAACAGGCAUGGACACAAAAGGUCCCCCUACACACACACACACACACACACACACGGUGAGAGGGGGAUAUGCACUAAAAGCUCUCUCUACACACACACAGGCAUAUACACAAAAGGUAUCCCCUACACACAGAGACACACAAGCAUGAGGAGGAUAUACACUGAAGGCUCUUAUACACACACAAAAACAGGCAUGCACACAAAAGGUCCCCCUACACACACACACACACACACACACACACACACACACACACAGUGAGAGGGGGAUAUGCACUAAAAGCUCACACUCUCUCCACACACAGGCACAUACACAAAAGCCCCCCCUUACAUACACAAACAGGCAUAUAAACAAAAAAGGCCCUACCUACACACACACAAACACACAGGCAUGAAAGGCCCCCUUACAAGCUCUCCACACACAUACACACCAAUGGGCAUAGGCGUCUAAAGGUCCCCCUUCACAGAGAGACAUGUGCACACAGAGGCAUGCACACAGAAAGUUGCCUCUAAACACAAGACGUCAUUGUCCGCAUCCAUUCGCCUCAAGAGACAAUGGGAUGCACCUCCAGGGUGAAGUGAAUCUCUUGCGUUUGCAGCACCAAAGUGACCUCUCAGGGACACAAACCUGGGCAGUGGGGGGCGGGUCCUUAGCCUCCUGGAGGGCGUCUUUGGGCUCUGCACCCACCACGACAGCCUUUGAUUCCCAGCCAUCAAGUAAGCUUGAUCUGGUCUCGCACCCUGUUCCUGAUGUAGAUGUUCACUCACCCCUUCUUCCCUGGCAUUGGGCAUUUGUGAUUUGCCGCAGGUGCCAAAAGUCUUCAGCCAGCCCCGUGCGUUGGACACCAAAACCCUACUUUUGAAGACACUGGAGGUAUUCAGAAAAGCGUUUUUGAAGAAUAUUUUAAACCCUGACAGGUUCAUAUAAGCAGUUCUUCAGGUAACAAUAUUCCAAUCUUUACAGGUAACCAAAAUGAGGGUCUAAAACUUCCCAGCAAUUCCCUCUCCCCCCUACUUAUCAUGGUCUAGUUUUCCAGGCUCUGUCCCAGCCCAUAAAAGCCUACUUGGUCCCAUCCCAAAGUCUCAAAUUCUACCUUGCUCCCUCGCCUCACCUGGCAAUAUUUUGAAAGCCAAUGUUUAUUAUUUAUUUAUGGCUCCAUAACCAGAGUUCUCUUGGUGACAAAUUAAAAUCCGAAACCAUCAAUCAAUAUAAGCAACAGCAGGGGAAACCAUAUAGAAAGAACCAAACCACUUCAGAGCCGAGGUUAAUGUAGGUUCGGCCACAUUCAUAUAAUGAGAACCACAAAACACCUCACAGAGCUAAAACCAAAUCCUAAAAUUUGGUUUGUAGAAAUUAAACUGCUCAUACAAACAAUUUUAAAGGGCCUAGAUUGCUAUUUUUUUUAAGCUAUUUGCCUGAUGCUGGGCACGAAGAUCUACAGAGGAGUUUUUCUCUGUCUUGCCACAUCUGACAUGUUGGGUGGGAACUUGAACAAGAGCCUUCUCAGUGGUUGAACCCAGACUUAGGAACUCCCUCCCAAGAGAAGCUCACUUGAUCCCUUUGAUGGUCCUUCUGCCAGCAGGCAAAAACUUAAAGUUUGUAGUCACCACAAGAUUUGGUUUACUGAUCCUAAGAUUCAGUGCUUCAGAAAACAGGUCACCUUGAUCUAAGGUGCUUCAUGGGCUGCCUGAUUUGGCUCAGGGACUGUCUAAGUCUGCUCUCUUCCACCCCAGCCCUGCAAUUCACUACAGUGAAAUUUAAAAACAGCUAUAACUUCGCUUUUCUUUUGAUAGAAGUGGAUGGAAUUUGCAGGCAUAUUAUUCUCUUCAGAGUGCAUAAGGUUUGCCAAAGUACAGGCAAAUAGGCUUAGGGUAGGGAAGAAGGGCUAUUUAACACUUUUAAUGUUUUCUUUAAGAGAGAGAGAAAUGAAACACCUAUAACUUUUUAUUUGGGGGCAGAAUUGGACAACAUUUUCAGGUAUGGCUGUCCCUUUUGGGAGCAUGAAACCAGCAGAAUUUCAGGUUAGCUGCAAUGGUUUUCCUGCAAGGGCAGCCAUUAUUGUUUCAGCACAGGUUAAAAAAAAAUCACUUAAUCUCUCCUAGUGAUUAGGCUAAACCAGCUAGGACCCUAUCAUGCUGAGGUGAUAAGUCUGAAUCUCACCUAAAACCCAUGUCCUUUGACCUGGAAUUUUUCUCCUAUCAGUGUGGGACCCAAUUCUGAAUUACCAUUUUCUACAAAGACUUAGGCACGCUCCCUCCUUUCUCUCUCUCUUUCUUUGUCUCUCUCUCUCUCUCCACACACACACACAGAGAGAGAGAGAGAGUGUCCUGGCACAGAAAACGAACUCUGAGCUUUGGAACCAGCCCAUAGGCACCCUGGCUGAAAUUAAGCCCUGGUCACAUGCUUAUCAUGGACUCAUGGAACACAUAUGCAACAUAAAAUUGGCUCUAGGCCAGCCCAUUGCUGGAAAAAUCCAGAGCCAUUCCCAGCUGUGUGAAAUUAACCUUUGUUUCAGAAUGUAAGGGAAAUAUAUCCUCUUAGGACUAGAAAUAAGUUAGCUCUGAUUAGCUUCAAGAUGGCAUAAAGAAACAGAACAUGAUAACAAGUAGUCAUUGUUUUAAAAAAUCCCAAAUUUACUGCUGGGCCUCUUGCAAAGAUUAGUGUGGGCAAGGGAGGUGGGGAGAUUCUUUGUGGAAAUGUUUUGCAUUAGGAAAGAAUGUGCCAGAUGAAAAUUAAAUCUGGCUGUAUAACAUGAGAAUUCUUUAAACUUUUCCAAAGUGUGGAUCCCAUCUCACAGUUCACAUGCUUUUCUGCUUGACUUACAGACCACAUCUCUUUGUCUUCAGCUGCUUAAUAACCCUGUAUUCAUGUGUUGUGGUGGUGACAUACUUAGCUACAGUUAGGACACUGUUGCCUGAGGGGGGGAAAAUAGUAACAAAGCCCAUACAAUGAGAUUAGUCAAUUUUACAUGGACC